CCGGAAAGUUGCCAGUGGUAAAAUCAUUUACCAAAACUUGAUUGAAACACAUUUGUCUGAAUCUUUUUGCUUCAAUGAAAUAAAACUUUCAACAACGGAUCUCUAGGCUCUUGCAUCGAUGAAAAACGCAGUGAAAUGCGAUAAGUAAUGUGAAUUGCAAAAUCUCGUGAAUCAUCGAAUCUUUGAACGCACAUUGCGCCCUAUGGUAUUCCGUAGGGCAUGCCUGUCUGAGCGUCAGCUCCCCCCCACUCAAGUAUCCUUUUUGGGAUGUUUGGAUUGCUUUGGAAAGGCGACUUUCUAUUGGAGUCGGUCGCCCUUCAAAAAUUCAUAGGCAGUAUGGUUUGCACCUGAACCAAACGUAAUAAUAAUAAAAUCGUUUGUUUAGGUAUAAUUAAUUGUACUUGCCCCAACCCACCCAUUUUUACCUUGGGUGACCUCAAAUCAGGUAGGGAUACCCGCUGAACUUA
rnacentral:rRNA from 1 species